CCUCAUGCAUGAGUACCAUCUUUUGUGCCUUCUCCAAAUGCCAACCCAUAUCCGUGGAACAUUUAGCAAUCAGGUAGUUCCACUGCCUUGAGUAGUUCUUCUGCCUUGUAUAGUUCCACCAUACCAGUGAUGGGACCUCCUCCAACUACCUACCCAUUUCCAUGGAGCAACCAAGUGAUGCUUUCGAAAUGUGGUAACAUUAAAUAACAUUUAAUUAUUUAUAAGGGUAUUAAUAACAUUUUUUGUAUGAUUGCAGAAACAUCCAUGGAACUCUACUUCUGUUGUCACGUUAAGUUCUGUUGCGACUUUAAGUUCCAUUGCCACAUCAAGUUCCGCUGCCUUGAAUAGUUCCACUGCCUUGUAUAGUUCCGUCAUACCAGUGAUGGGACCUCCUCCAACUGCCUACCUAUUUCCAUGGAGCAAUCAGCAAUAUCCAUGGAUGCCUAGUUUAGUUGCCAUGCCUAGUUCCACUUCCAUGUCUAGUUCCACUAUCAGUGCUGCCAUGCCUCCAAUGCUAGCUCUAGUGUUGCUAGUAGCUCAUGCUCCGCUUUACCAGCAUUUAUUCCUCCUACAAAUGCCAACCUAUAUCCAUGUGGCAGUGAGGAAAAUAAGGCACAACAAAGUCACUCUGUUGAGACAACUAGUGACGCAUCCCUAGACUCGAUUGAAAUUGAAGCAUAAUCUACUGCCUCUUUGGGUAAUACUAUUGAUACCAAGGAGGCUGGCAGUUUCGGGACACUGUCCACGGAGCCUACUUUAGGGUGUGAUAUCACUGAGGAGCCAAAGGCAGAGAUGUGCUUUGAAUCAGAAAAUGAGUUGGUUGCUUACUAUAAAAAGUACGGUAAACAAUGUAGAUUUGGGAUAAUAGCACAAAGGAGUAAAAGGGAGAAUGAUGGGACUAUCAAAUACGUCACUCUAGGAUAUGCUCGUGGUGGCAAGGCACAGAAUCGGACGUCAAAUGUCUCUAAGCCUCGGCCAACAAGCAAAACAGUCUGCAAGGCAAGGAUGACUGUGUUGUUGAAUAAUGGGAAGUUGUGUGUCACAUCGGCAUUUAACACAUACAAUCAUAUGCUAAGUCCAAGAAAAUCUAGGUUUUUCAGAUGCAAUAGAGAAGUUAGUGAGUCCGUUAAGAGGGUUUUGGAUACAAAUGAUGAAGCUGGCAUACAAAUGAAUAAGAGUUUCUAAGCUAUCGUGACUGAUGCGGGUGGGUUUGAGAACGUAUCCUUUGGGGAAAAAGAUUGUCGUAACUACAUUGAUAAGGCACGUCACCUACGGUUGGAGAAAGGUGGUACACAAGCGCUAUUUGAGUAUUUUCGAAGGAUGCAAUACAAGAAUGAUGGUUUUUACGGCAUAAUGGAUUUGGAUGAUGAUGAUAGGAUGAGGAAUGUGUUUUAGACAGACGCCCUUAGUAGAGGAGCUUACAACUACUUUGAAGAUGUGGUGACAUUCGAUACCACGUAUCUAACAAAUAGAUAUGGAAUGCUAUUUGCACCUUUCGUGGGUGUAAAUCACCAUGGGCAGUCAAUCCUCUUAGGUGCAGGGCUUAUUUCAAGCAAGGAUACAGAAUCAUUUGUGUGGUUACUUAAAACUUGGCUUGAUUGCAUGGAUGGAAAGGCGUUGAAUACUAUUAUUACAGAUCGAGAUCGCGCAAAGAAAAAUGCUAUCGUCAUUGUGCUCCCUAACACGCGUCAUAGAUAUUGCUUGUGGCACAUACUGCGCAAGGUUCCUGAGAAGCUUGGUACCCAUAGUCAAUACAAAUGUGGCCUGAAAAGUAAGUUGUUAUCUUCUGUCUAUGACUCCCUUACUAUCGAGGAGUUUGAGUU